GCGCUUUUGGAGCGGCCGAUGCCUGAUUAGCUAGUUGGUGGGGUAAAGGCUUACCAAGGCAACGAUCAGUAGGUGGUAUGAGAGGACGGCCAGCCACACUGGGACUGAGACACGGCCCAGACUCCUACGGGAGGCAGCAGUGGGGAAUUUUGGACAAUGGGCGCAAGCCUGAUCCAGCAAUGCCGCGUGAGUGAAGAAGGCCUUCGGGUUGUAAAGCUCUUUCAGUCGAGAAGAAAAGAUUGGGACGAAUAAUCACAAUUCAUGACGGUAUCGACAGAAGAAGCACCGGCUAACUACGUGCCAGCAGCCGCGGUAAUACGUAGGGUGCAAGCGUUAAUCGGAAUUACUGGGCGUAAAGGGUGCGCAGGCGGCUUUGUAAGUCAGAUGUGAAAUCCCCGGGCUUAACCUGGGAAUUGCGUUUGAAACUACAAAGCUAGA
rnacentral:rRNA from 1 species